UCUGAGCUCUCUGUGGAACCUUCUAGAGGAGAGUCUGGUGGGCUCUGUGAUCCUGGGACUUCCUCAUCUUGGGAUGCUCACGCUGGCUUCCCACCCCAGAUCUUCCUGGUGCUGUUGCUGACGUCCCUGGGCCUCGCUGUGGCCUCUGGGUUCUGGGCCAGGACGUUCCAGGAGAAGCACAGUUACCUGGCUGCCCUCUACGAGCACACCAGCCCUGCCCAGCAGGCCUUCCUCAACUUCUGGGGCUUCACCAUCCUCCUGAGCAUCAUCAUCCCCAUGUCCAUGUACAUCACGCUGGAAUUCAUCUACCUGGUGAACAGCUGCUUUAUUAACUGGGAUCUGGAGAUGUAUUAUGGUGCCAAGGACAUUCCAGCUGAGGCCAGGAGCACCAGCCUCAGUGACCAGCUGGGGCAGAUCGAGUUCAUCUUCUCGGACAAGACGGGCACCCUGACACAGAACAUCAUGAGCUUCAAGAAAUGCUGCAUCAACGGGACCAUCUACGGUGACCUGGGCUGCUGGGGGCUCAGAUGAGCCUGGGGCUGGUUCUUCCUGCCAGGAAAAUUAAUCCACAAACACCAGAGGU
rnacentral:lncRNA from 12 species